UACGAAGGGGGCUAGCGUUGUUCGGAAUCACUGGGCGUAAAGCGCACGUAGGCGGACUUUUAAGUCAGGGGUGAAAGCCUGAGGCUCAACCUCAGAACUGCCCUUGAUACUGGGAGUCUUGAGUAUGGUAGAGGUUGGUGGAACAGCAAGUGUAGAGGUGAAAUUCGUAGAUAUUCGCAAGAACACCAGUGGCGAAGGCGGCUCACUGGCCCGGUACUGACGCUGAGGUGCGAAAGCGUGGGGAGCAAACAGG
rnacentral:rRNA from 1 species